AAACCGUUCAGGGGUAAACCUAAAAAACCCAAAAGAUCGAAUGGGGAGAUUCAUCGUCGACGGCGCUGGCUACCGUUGGUGCGCGAUGCUCCGGGUGGGCCCUUGCGGUUCCAUUAGCGUGUGGCACACCACCUUCGGAUCGAACGUUCCGGCGUCGUAGUCGUGCACUUCUCCCCUAGUAGGACGUCGCGACCCGUUGUGUGUCGGUCUACGGCCCGAGUGGGCGCCUGUCGCGUCGUUUCGGCGCACGCGGCAGACCCUCGGUCGCCCGGCCGGCUGCACGACGGUACACUCACGGUAUCGGGCCGCAACCAGUCCAUUCUCGAAUGUGUGUGCGUCCAACCCGCCGCAAGCUCGGUCAGUUCUUACCCGGAGGUACGGACCCUGUGCCGUCCCCGGGCCUGGCCAGCUGUUAGCAGGCGGUGUCCUCGGACUGGCCAAAUCUCAGAUUACCGGUCAGCGACGCUAUUGCUUUGGGUACUCUCAGGACCCGUCUUGAAACACGGACCAAGGAGUCUAACAUGUGCGCGAGUCAUUGGGAUGCAUAAACCUAAAGGCGAAAUGAAAGUGAAAGUCGGCCUUCGCGCCGAUCGAGGGAGGAUGGGCCGCGUAACCAUGCGGCCUCGCACUCCCGGGGCGUCUCGUUCUCAUUGCGAGAAGAGGCGCACCUAGAGCGUACACGUUGGGACCCGAAAGAUGGUGAACUAUGCCUGGUCAGGACGAAGUCAGGGGAAACCCUGAUGGAGGUCCGUAGCGAUUCUGACGUGCAAAUCGAUCGUCGGAACUGGGUAUAGGGGCGAAAGACUAAUCGAA
rnacentral:rRNA from 1 species